rnacentral:rRNA from 1 species
AUAUCAAUAAGCGGAGGACAAGAAACCAACAGGGAUUGCCUCAGUAACGGCGAGUGAAGCGGCAUAAGCUCAAAUUUGAAAUCUGGCCUCUGGCCCGAAUUGUAAUUUGCAGAAGGUGCUUCGGGCGCGACGAUGGUCCAAGUCCCUUGGAACUGGGCGUCAUAGAGGGUGAGAAUCCCGUAUGGCACCAUCCGUCAACCCCGUGUGAAGCCCUUUCGACGAGUCGAGUUGUUUGGGAAUGCAGCUCUAAAUGGGUGGUAAAUUUCAUCUAAAGCUAAAUAUCUGCCAGAGACCGAUAGCGCACAAGUAGAGUGAUCGAAAGAUGAAAAGAACUUUGAAAAGAGAGUUAAACAGUACGUGAAAUUGUUAAAAGGGAAGCGCUCGCAAUCAGACUCGGUUGCAGGAGUUCAGUCGUUCUUUGGAGCGGUGUAUUGUCCUGUUUACGGGCCAGCAUCGGUUUUGGCGGACGGAUAAAGGUCUUGGGAAAGUAGCUCUCUUCGGAGAGUGUUACAGCCUGAGGCGUAAUGCGUCCUGUCGAGACCGAGGAUCGCGCUUCUGCUAGGAUGCUGGCGUAAUGGUUGCUAGCGACCCGUCUUGAAACACGGACCAAGGAGUCGACCAAUCGCGCGAGUGUUUGGGCGUUAAACCCAAGCGCGCAGUGAAAGCAAACGUAGGUGGGAGCCUUCGGGCGCACCAUCGACCGAUCUUGAUGUCUUCGGAUGGAUUUGAGUAUGAGCACGGUCGGUCGGACCCGAAAGAUGGUGAACUAUGCGUGAAUAGAAUGAAGCCAGGGGAAACCCUGGUGGAAGUUCGCAGCGGUUCUGACGUGCAAAUCGAUCGUCAAAUUUGCGCAUAGGGGCGAAAGACUAAUCGAACCGUCUAGUAGCUGGUUCCUGUCGAAGUUUCCCU